CCUACGGGUGACAGCAGUGAGGAAUAUUGGUCAAUGGACGCAAGUCUGAACCAGCCAUGCCGCGUGCAGGAAGACGGCUCUAUGAGUUGUAAACUGCUUUUGUACGAGGGUAAACGCAGAUACGCGUAUCUGUCUGAAAGUAUCGUACGAAUAAGGAUCGGCUAACUCCGUGCCAGCAGCCGCGGUAAUACGGAGGAUUCAAGCGUUAUCCGGAUUUAUUGGGUUUAAAGGGUGCGUAGGCGGUCGGAUAAGUUAGAGGUGAAAUCCCGAGGCUCAACUUCGGAAUUGCCUCUGAUACUGUGCGGCUAGAGAGUAGUAGCGGUAGGCGGAAUGUAUGGUGUAGCGGUGAAAUGCUUAGAGAUCAUACAGAACACCGAUUGCGAAGGCAGCUUACCAAGCUACUUCUGACGUUGAGGCACGAAAGCGUGGGGAGCAAACAGGAUUAGAUACCCCAGUAGUC
rnacentral:rRNA from 1 species